rnacentral:rRNA from 1 species
UUGAUUCUUCGGAUGAUUUUCAGUUGACUGAGCGGCGGACGGGUGAGUAACGCGUGGGUGACCUGCCCCAUACCGGGGGAUAACAGCUGGAAACGGCUGCUAAUACCGCACAAGCGCACAGAGCUGCAUGGCUCGGUGUGAAAAACUCCGGUGGUAUGGGAUGGGCCCGCGUCUGAUUAGGCAGUUGGCGGGGUAACGGCCCACCAAACCGACGAUCAGUAGCCGGCCUGAGAGGGCGACCGGCCACAUUGGGACUGAGACACGGCCCAAACUCCUACGGGAGGCAGCAGUGGGGAAUAUUGCACAAUGGGGGAAACCCUGAUGCAGCGACGCCGCGUGAGCGAAGAAGUAUUUCGGUAUGUAAAGCUCUAUCAGCAGGGAAGAUAAUGACGGUACCUGACUAAGAAGCCCCGGCUAACUACGUGCCAGCAGCCGCGGUAAUACGUAGGGGGCAAGCGUUAUCCGGAUUUACUGGGUGUAAAGGGAGCGCAGGCGGUGCGGCAAGUCUGAUGUGAAAACCCGGGGCUCAACCCCGGUACUGCAUUGGAAACUGUCGUACUAGAGUGUCGGAGGGGUAAGCGGAAUUCCUAGUGUAGCGGUGAAAUGCGUAGAUAUUAGGAGGAACACCAGUGGCGAAAGCGGCUUACUGGACGAUAACUGACGCUGAGGCUCGAAAGCGUGGGGAGCAAACAGGAUUAGAUACCCUGGUAGUCCACG